rnacentral:rRNA from 1 species
AAGUAAAGUCGUAACAAGGUCUCCGUUGGUGAACCAGCGGAGGGAUCAUUACCGAGUUUACAACUCCCAAACCCCUGUGAACAUACCUUAUGUUGCCUCGGCGGAUCAGCCCGCGCCCCGUAAAAAGGGACGGCCCGCCGCAGGAACCUUAAACUCUGUUUUUAGUGGAACUUCUGAGUAUAAAAAACAAAUAAAUCAAAACUUUCAACAACGGAUCUCUUGGUUCUGGCAUCGAUGAAGAACGCAGCAAAAUGCGAUAAGUAAUGUGAAUUGCAGAAUUCAGUGAAUCAUCGAAUCUUUGAACGCACAUUGCGCCCGCCAGUAUUCUGGCGGGCAUGCCUGUUCGAGCGUCAUUUCAACCCUCAAGCCCAGCUUGGUGUUGGGAGCUGCAGUCCUGCUGCACUCCCCAAAUACAUUGGCGGUCACGUCGAGCUUCCAUAGCGUAGUAAUUUACAUAUCGUUACUGGUAAUCGUCGCGGCCACGCCGUUAAACCCCAACUUCUGAAUGUUGACCUCGGAUCAGGUAGGAAUACCCGCUGAACUUAAGCAUAUCAAUAAGCC